GGGGGGGAUUCCAGGGAGAGAGUUAUGUAUGUACAUACAUUGAGGUCAGAGAGAUGCUGACCCAUUUGGGGGAAUUUCCACUGGUUCCAGACAGCUGGAGUCUCGUUAUGAAGCUGAAAAUACAGUUGGAGAUACAGUAGUGGCCAGAUCAUGAAAAACCAUCUUUGCUGUGCUAGGUUUGAACUCUUCUCUGAAGAUUGUGGAAAACUACAGAGGUUAGUAAAAAUAAUCACAGUGUCAUUUUAGAAAGACCGUUUUAGAGACAGUGUGGGGCUGGUGGAAUUGGAGGAGUAAGGCUGGAGGGAAAAACACCAGUAAGGAGACUACAGUUUCAAGCCAGGCAGUGGAUAAUGAGGAUGUUCAUUUAGUAAGGCAGGUCAGGCGUUGGAGAGAAUAGACUCUAUAAAACCUGGAGAUAAGUUGGAUGUGGGGGAAAAAGUGGGAGUUGACCAGUGACUCUCAAGGUUUAUAGUUGAUAUUCUUAAUUAUGAAACAGAAUCAGACAAGCAACAAAAAACCUCUUUAUCUCCAUGCAUGUUCUAUUCCAAAUUUGCAUAAUCUACUUUAUUCUCUAAAUAGUUCUGAGAUUCAUUUCAGGUGAUUAUAAAUUCAUAUUGGAGGAACAACUGGCCCACAUGUUUUGGUUUAUUUUAGUUUUUGCAUAUAUUGCGGGGAAAUGCUUCUCUAAAGAAUAAUUCUGUAGGCUUAGAGGCUCUUUUAAGCUUAAUUAUAAAGCUAAUUUAAUACACUAUCCACUACGUAUCAUUAAAACGUUGAACUUGCCUCCUAAAAUAUUGUUUCUUUACUGUGGAUUUAGUUGAGCCUUCUUAAGUUAUAAGCAGACUCUUAAUUUAAAAUAAUUUCAAAUUUUGUUUGAGCAUUCUGCUAGUAAUGAACUGGUUUAGAUUAUGAAGUAUUUGGUAGAUUUAAUUGCUGGCAUCUUUGUCUCAGCUGGUGUUUUAGAACAUUUUCUUGUUAGGAGAAAAAGGCAUUCUUUUUCAGGUUCUAACUUCCCUGUAGGAUUCGUCAGCUGUUUUCACUCAACAGUUACUGACCUCUUAGAGUAUGCCAGGCAUUGACCUAAUACUCAAAGAAGAUAAAUUGACACUCUCUCUACUGUCAUGUACUUAAAAGUCUUAACAUUCUAAAUAUAAUUCAAGAAAAAAAAUCUAUAAUAAGUCUAAAAAUGGACUUUGCUUACAUACUAUUUUGAUAGCUAAUAUAAAAUAAACUUUCUUCUUAAAAGUCCUUGUAACAACACAGACAUUUCUCCCAUAUUGCAUGGUGCAUAACUAGAUUUGUAUGUACUAGGGUCAUUUAGGGUGUAUAGUCUGCAUUGCACAGAUUACUUUUGGUUAUAACCACGUGCUAAUUAGGAACCAGCAUUUAAAAGGAAAAGGAAGGACUUCUGGUUUCUGGUUCUGCAUGUAGGGAGCUUGGCAGUUGCCACUCCAUCCUAACAAGUAAAAAGCUGAACAGACUGAAAAAUCAACAACUCUUCUUGGAUACAUAAGAGAGGGGAAGACGUAGGGCUAGCAGCAGCUGUCAAGAUUGGAGAGACAGAUGGGUAACAUACAGAGAGUUUAGGCAUACUGGAGCAGACCUAUAAGCAGAAACCAGUGAGGGAACCAGUACCUGGGUUGAAAAGCCUGAACUGUGCUGAAUUUCAGGAGGCUCACUGUGGGCAGGUCUGAGAGUUAAAAACUCCAGGGGGACCCAAUCAUAGUGGGUCCUUACCAUACAGUGAGAUUAUCUCCAGAAGUUAGACCAAGUUCCCACAGUAAAUAUCUGAGAAAAAUCCCCUCAGCCUUCUGGCAGGAGCAGGGGAAAGGGAACCAUCUUGAAAUAUGCCAGAGUACCCCAUUUUUCUUAACAAAGCCUAUUCUAAGGGGAAACUGGCUAACUAGAGCCUUACCUGCUGGGAUAUUAUCAGAGUCUGUCUGGCCUGGGGAAGGGAAAUAACCAGCUUUUGCUCACUCUAGCCAUCCUGUCCCACCCAAGUGGAGAGGAACCCCCCCCGAGAAACCCUUGUGAAAUUCACAGUCCAGAGGCCAUGGCUCACUGAAAGACCAAGACCUAAUCACAGGAUGAUAGAAUGCUUCCCCUCCCUCCAUCUCACCACCACAUUACUGAAGGUUUAUUUAUAGCAGUUCUUUUUACCUAGUACAUCAUGUUCAACUAUCAAGAAAAUAUUACAAGGCAUACCAAAAGGCAAGAAGCACAAUUUGGAGAGACAAAUAAGUAUCAGAACCAGCUAUGGUGGUGAUGUUGGAAUUAUCAGACGGGGGAUUUUAAACAACUAUGAUUACUAUGCUAAGAACUCUAAUGGAUAAAGUAAACACCAUGCAAGAACAGGUGAACAAUGUAAGCAGGGAGAUAGAAGUCCUAAGAAAGAACCACAAAGAAAUGCUGUAGUUAAAAAACACUGUAAUAGAAGUGAAGAAUGCCUUUCAUGGGCUUAUUAAUGUACCGGACAUAGCUGAGGAGAGAAUCUCUGAGCUAGAAGAAAUAUCAGUAGAAACCUCCAAAACCCAAAAGCAAAGAAAACAAAGACUGAAAGAACCAGAAUAACCAAGGGCUGUGUGACAUCUACAAAGGUAUAAAAUACAUGUAAUGGGAAUGCCAGAAGGGGAAGAAAGAGAGAAAGGAACAGAAGAAAUACUUGAAACAGUAAUGACUGAGAAGCUCCCCCAAAUUAAUCGCAGACACCAAACCAUGGAUCCAGGAAGCUCAGAGAACACUAGGCAGAAUAAAUGCCAAAAGCCUACACUGAGGCAUAUAAUUGUCAAAGUACAGAAAAUCAAAGUCAAAGAAAAUAAUCCUGAAAGAAGCCAGAGCAAAACAAAACAACAAAAAACCCCCCAAACCAACACCUUACCUAUAGAGGAACAAAAGUAAUCACAUCCGACUUCUCAGAAACCAUGCAAGCAAGAAGAGAGUCGAGUGUAAUAUUUGAAGUGUUGAGAGAAAAACCCCACCACCUUAGAAUUCUGUAUUCUGGGGGCGCCUGGGUGGCUCAGUAGGUUAAGCGGCUGCCUUCGGCCCAGGUCAUGAUCCCAGGGUCCUGGAAUCGAGUCCUACAUCAGCCUCCCUGCUCAGUGGAAAGUCUGCUUCUCCCUCUCCGUCUGCCUGCCUCUCUGCUUACUUGUGCUCUCUCUCUAUCUCUGUCAAAUAAAUAAAUAAAAUCUAAAAAAUAAAAUAGGGGGAAAAGUUUAAAAAAAAAAAGAAUUCUGUAUUCUGCAAAAUUAUCCUUCAGAAGUAAAGGAGAAAUAAAGAUUUUCUCAGACAGACAAAAAUUGACGGUAUUUCUUGCUAGUAGAUCUUCCCUGCAAGGAAUAUGGAAAGAAGUUUUUUAGAGAGAAGGAAAAUAUUAGAGGUCAGAAACUCAGAUCUACAUAGAGAAAGGAAGAACAUCAAAGAAGGAAUAACUAAAGGUAAAAUAAAAACUUUUCUUCUUAAUUGAUGUAACAGCAGUUUGUUCAGAAUACUAAUAGUAACGCUGUAUUUGAUUAUGCUUGUGUGUGUAUGCUUAUGUACCCUUAUACAUAAGUGAAAUAGAUGACAGCAAUGUUCUCACACUACCCAUGAAGUGGUAUAGUGUUAUUUGAAAGUAGACAUGGAAGAAUUGUAAAUGUAUGUUUCCUAACUCUAGGGUAGCCAUUAAAAAAAUAAAAAAAGAAAUAUAACUGAUAUGCUAAGAAAGGAAAGUGGAACCAUACAAAAUGUUCAGUUAAAGCCACAAAAGGCAAAAAAAAAAAAAAAAAAAAAAAAAGUGGAAGACAAAACUAGGAGCAAAAAACCAAGGCCAACAAAUAGAAAACAUUAAUGAAUAUGGUAGAUACUAAUCCAGCUAUCUCAGUGGAGAUACUUUGAAUGAGCACUUUGAAUGUCAGUGGUCUAACUGUACAAAUUGAAAGAGAUCGUCAGAGUGGAUCAAAAAAUAUGACACAACUAUGUAUUGUCUAUAAGAAAUCCACUUUAAAUAUAAAGGCAUAUAGAUUAAAAGUAAAUAGAUGGAGAAAAAUAUACAAUGCUAACAGUAAUCAAAGGAAAAUAGGAGCAGGGAUAUUGGUUGCAGACAAAGCAGACUUCAAAUUAAGGGAAGUUUAUCAGGGAUGAAGGGCUUUGAUAAAGGGGUCAGUUCUCCAAGAAGAUAUUGUAAUUGUUAACAUGUAUACACCUAACAACAGCAUCAAACUAUGCGAGACAAAAACUGAUAGAGCUAUAAGGAAAAAUAGAUGAGUUUUACAUUUAUAGUUGGAGACUUCAACAUCCCUCUCUCAGAAAGUGGACAGAUCCAGCAGGCAGAAAAUAAGUAAGGAAAUAGUUAAACUCAACAACACUGUCAGUCAACUGGAUAUAAUGGAUAUCUGUAGACUACUUCAACCACCACCAACAGAAUACACAUUUCUCUCAAGUUCAUGGAACAUUCAUCAAGACCACAUUCUGGGACAUAAAACCCACCUUAACAAAUUGAAAAGACUAGAAAUCAUUCAGUGUUUGUUUUCAGACUACAGUGGAGUUAAACUAGAAAUCAGUAAAAGAAAGAUAACUGGAAAAUCCCCAAAUAUGUGGGGAUUAAACAACAUACUUCUACAAUACUGCAUGGUCAAAGAAGAAAUCACAAGAGAAAUUAAAAAAAUAUUUUCAACUAAAUGAAAAUGAAAAUUGUGGGAUAUAGUGAAAGCAGAGCUUAGAGGGAAAUUUAUAGCAUUGAAUGCAUAUAUUAGGAAAGAAGAAAAGUUUCCAACUUAGGAAUUGAGAAAAAGAAAAGAAAAUUAAAUCCAGAAUAAGUAGAAGAAAAGAAAUAAUAAGAAUAAAUCAAAGAAAUUAUAAACAGAAAAUAGAAAAAACCCAAUGAAACUAAAAGCUGGUUCUUUGAAAAAAGCAAUAAUACUGGUAAGUCUCUAGCUAGGCUAUCUAAGGAAAAAAAGAGAAAGCACAAAUUAAUAUCAGAGACAAAAGAGGGACAUCACAACAAAUCUCAUGGAAAUUAAAAGGAUAAUAAAUGAAUACUGUGAAUAAAUCUAUGCACACAAAUUUGAUAACCUAGAUGAAAUUUCAAAUUCCUUGAAAGACACAAUCUGCCAAAACUCACAGAAGAAGAAACAGAUGAUCUGAAUAGGCCUUUAUUAAAGAAAUUGAAUCAACAAUUAAUAAUCUUUAAAAACAUGAAAGCACCAGGCCCAGAUGGGUUCACUGUUGAAUUCUACCAAACAUUUAAGGAAGAAAUUAGACCAGUUCUCCACAGUCUCUUUCAGAGGAUAGAAGUAGAGCAAAUGCUUCGUAACUCAUUUUGUGAGGCCAGCAUUACCCAAAUAUCAAAACCAAAGACAAAGACAUUAUAAGAAAACUAUAGACCAAUAUCUUUCAUGAACACAGAUGCAAAAAAUCCUCAACAAAAAUUUAAUCCAACAAUUUGUGUAAAAAGAAUUCUGUACCACAACCAAGUGAGAUUUAUCCCAGAUAUAUAAGGUUGGUUCAACAUUCAAAAAUCAAUUAAUGUAAUCCAUCACAUCAACAAACUAAAAAAGAAAAAUCACAUUAUCUUACCAAUAGAUGCAGAAAAAACAUUCACCAAAAUCCACUACCUGUUCAUGAUAAAAACUCUCAGUAGACUAGGAAUAGAGAUGAACUUUCUCAACUUAAUAAAGAAUAUCUAUUUUAAAAAAAAAACCUGUAGGGGCGCCUGGGUGGCUCAGAUGGUUAAGCCUCUGCCUUUGGCUCAGGUCAUGAUCUCCAGGUCCUGGGAUUGAGCCCCAUGUCGGGCUCCCAGCUCAGUGGGGAGUCUGCUUCUCCCUCUCCCUCUGCUUCUCCCCCUGCUUAUGCUCUUUCUCUCUCAAAUGAAUAAAUAACCCUAGAGCUAACAUCUUAAUAUUGAGAGAGCUUUCCGACUAAGAUCAGGUACAAAGAAGGCUAUCCCCUCUCACAUGUGACUCUUUUUGACAUCAAACGAAGUUCUUGCUUAAUGCAAUUAGGCAAGAAAAGGAAAUGAAAGGUAUACAGAUUGGGAAGGGAGACGUAAAACUGUCUGUGUUUGUAGAUGACAUGAUUAUCUAUGUAGGAAAUCCUAAAGAUUUGACAGAAAAACUUUUCUGGAACUAAUAAGUGUUUACAACAAGAUUGCAGGGUACAAGGUUAAUACACAGAAGUAAAUCGCUUUGCUAUAUACAAGCAAUGAAAAAGUGGAAUUUGAAAUUUAAAACAAAGCCAUUUACCCCCCAAAAUGAAAUACUUCGGUACAAAUCUAACAAAAUAUGUGUAAGAUCUAUAUGAAGAAAACUAAUAAACUCUGUGAAUGAAAUCCAAGAACUAAAUAAAUGGAGAGAGAUCCCAUGUUCAUGAAUAGGAAGAUGCAGUAUUAUCAAGAUGCUAAUUCUUCUCAACUAUCUAUAGAUUCGGUGCAGUUCCAAUUAAAAUCCCAGCAAGUUAUUUUGUGGAUAUCAACAAAGUGAUAGCAAAGUUUAUGUGCAGAGCAAAACAUCCAAAUAGCCAACACAGUAUUGAAGGAGAAGGACAAAGUUAAAAGGAUUGACAUUACUUGACUUCAAGACUUACAAACCUACAGUGCUCAAGACAGUGUGGUAUUGGUGAAAGAACAGACAAGUAGGGCAAUGGAACAGAAUAGAGAACCUACAAAUAGACCCCCACCAAUAUAGUUAACUGAUCUUUGACAAAGAAGCAAAGCAAUACAGUAGAGCAAAAAUAGUCUCUUCAACAUAUGGUACUGGAACAACUGGACGUUCACAUGCAAAAAUGAAUCUGGCAUAGACCUUACACCUUUCACAAAAAUUAACUCAAAAUGGAUUAUAGACCUAAAUAUAGAAUGCAAAACUAUAAAACUCCUAGAACAUGAUAUGGGAGAAAGCCUAGAUGACCUUGGGUAUGGUGGUGCCUUUUUAGAUACAACGUUAAAGGCAUGCAUGACCUGUGAAAGAAAUAAUUGAGAAGUUGGGCCUCAUGAAAAUUAAAAACUUCUGCUUUGUGAAAAAUAGUGUCACGAGAAUUAGAAGACAAGCCAUAUACUGGGAGAAAAUAUUUGCAAAAGACACCUUUGAUAAAGGACUGUUAUCUGUAAUAUCUAAAGAACUCCUAAAACUCAGUGAUAAGAAAACAACCUCAUUAAGAAAUGAGCCAAGGACCUUAACAGACACCUCACUAAAGAAGAUACACUGGGGCGCCUGGGUGGCUCAGUUGGUUAAGCGACUUCCUUCGACUCAGGUCAUGAUCCUGGAGUUCCGGGAUCGAGUCCCGCAUCAGGCUCCCUGCUCAGCGGGGAGUCUGCUUCUCCCUCUGACCCUCCUCCCUCUCAUGCUCUCUGUCUCUCAUCCUCUGUCUCUCAAAUAAAUAAAUAAAAUCUUAAAAAAAAAAAAAAGAAGAUACACUGAUGGUAAAUAAAUAUAUGAAAAGAUGCUGCAUGUCAUAUGUCAUCAGGGAAAGGCAAAUUAAAACAAAAAUGAGAUACCACUGCAUACCUAUUAGAUUAGCCAAAAUUCUAUUAUUCAUAAUUGCCAAAAUUUGGACACUACCCAGCUGUCCUUUAGUAGGUGAGUUCAUAAACAAACUUUGGUAUAUCCAGACAGUGGAAUAUUAUUCAGCACGAAAAAGAAAUGAGCUAUCAGGCCAUGAAAAGGCAUGAGGGAACCUGAAAUGCAUAUUACUGAGUAGAAGAAGCCAAUCUGAAAAGGCUACAUGUUAUAUGAAUCAACCAUAUGACAUCUAAAAAAGGCAAAACUAUGGAGACUAUAAAAGAUCAAUUGUGUGGGGAAGGAGGAAGGGAUGAAUAGCUGGAGUACAGAGGGUUUUGGGGCAGUAAAAAUACUGUUUGAUAUUAUGAUAUAUGUCAUUAUACAUUCAUCCAAGGGCAUAAAAUGGACAGCACCAGGAAUGGACCCUAUGGUAAACUGUGGACUUUGGAUGAUUAUAGUGUGUCAAUGCAGGUUCAUGCUUGGUAAAUAAAUGUGCCACCGUGGUGUGGGAUGUUGGUAGUGGGGGAGGCUGUGCGUGCGUUGGGGCUGGGUGUAUAUGGGACAUCUCUGUCCCUUCCUCUCAAUUUUGUUGUGAACCUAAAACUGCUCUAUUAAAACAGGUCUUUAAAAAAAAGAUAAAAGGAAAAGGAGUGUCAGCUGGCAGCUCUGAUGUUUGAGUGGCUCAGUGCAUUGCAUAGCAUGGCCAUAUGUUGCAAAAUGAUAAAGUAUGAAAGACAUUGCUGAUUUAAUGAUAAAGUUGGUGGUAAUAGGUAAAGAGGGACUAUUCUUGAAAAUAAGCUAGAGCUAAAACUGGAUAUUUAGAUUUUAUCGCUAGUUUAAAAUGAUUUGAUUAUUGGAAUUCCUGUGUGAAAAAUUACUUUGUUAUUGCAAACUUUGCCUAAAUUGCUUUUAUAAUAGACUCUAAUGCAGUUGAUUUUAAAAUAUACAUCUUUGUUUCUUAGGACCAGAAUUCACAUAAAUAGAUUCUACUUUUAGAAUCACUGAUCUCUUUAGAGAUACUGCAAAUCUAUUAAUUUUUGAAUUUAGAUGCUGUUAGGAAAUGAAAUGGCUGGUGGUUAUGAAAAUGUAUUUGAGAAAUAGAUUUGAGGACUCACAUUGUGAUGUUCUUAAGCUCUGCUCUCACACCUACCCAAUAAUAUGUCCUCAGCCAGUGGGAGGUAGAAUUAGUGUACCAUGAGGCAGUAUUAUAUAGUGAUUAAGACUCUGAGUUUAAAUCAGACAGACUUGAGUACAAAUAUCCUCCUACCACUAACUAGUUAUCCAAACAUUACAGCAUAUCAUUUUCAUUGCUGAACUCCAGUUCUUUAUCUAUAAAAACGGGGCUCAUCGUAGCUUUUAUGAAUAUUAUGGUGGAGAGUAAAUAAGAAAAUGUACAUCAAGCCAUUAGCGCAGUGCUAAAUAAAUAGUAGGCACUAGGAAAUGGUACACAUUGUGGUGGUCACUAUUCCUAGGUUAAGAUUUUUUAAAGUAUUGUGGAAACAGUUUAACUCUAUGUCCUUACAUUUGGAAUUUAAUUAUGUCUCUAACUAUGUAAAUCAGAUGAAGAUGGGAGAGGGCACUGUGAUUUUUACAUAAUAGUUCAGUAGUUAUGUAGGAAAAUCAAUUCAUAAAAACAAAAUUUGCUUUGUGUAUGAUGCGGAAAAUCAUGAUAAAAGCUGGAGGAAUAACUUAUAACUAUAGUGAACUAGCAUUAAAAAAAUACCAGGCCUGUACAGAAUAUUUAAAUUUUAUUUACUCUUUACCUAAUACAAAUCUGUGUUGUAGCCAAUAUAAAGUUCAUAUUUAAAAAAAUUGUUUUCAUACAUUCCGAGAAGGAUAUUUUGUUUUUGAUUUAUAUUAUACCCAUUUGUUUUCCGACAGGAUAGGCAAAGGUUAAGAGAAAUACAAUUAUGACUCAGUUGUAGUUUUAAUAAUUAUUCUAAUAAAUUCAACAGAAAGAUGUGGGAUAUAAAAUUGUAGUUCCUUCAUAAUUUUAGUUAUGAAAAUUUACAUAUCAAAAGGAGACUAAAGGAAAUAAUAUAAAAAUGGUAGUAACCAUGGAAUUUCUACUGAGCUUUUUGGCAACCAAGGGAAAAAGGGAAAUAAGGGAGAUUGUAGUUUUCACAGAUUAAUAUGUUCAUCAGGAGAAAAUUCUCUUUCUUCCUGGCACUGAAUUAUAUAGGUGAAGUCACCAUGUGUUUAAAUUAUAUAUAGGUGAAGUGUGUUGAAUGAUACCAUGGUGUCUUCAACUGUGGGUUUUUUUUGUUUUUCAACUACAGUUUUAAAGAAAGAAUAAAAAUGUUUGACUACUUAAACAGCCCUAAGUAUAGUGAAGGUUUGACACUUAAUUGUAAUAUGGUGAAAGCCUUUCUCUUCUAACAGUUAAUAUAUGCCAGGUAAAGACUUCCUGGCGCUCUAGGUGCUAACAGCUUGGAACCUAGGUACCUAAUGUCAUCUUCAGACUGCCUCUUUCAAGCCCUGUGUAGCUUUCUCAGGAACUGGAAAGCAGUUUUUCAGUGUUAUGGUUGGUGCCAAAGUAUAGCUUUCAUGGUCAUUGACAAGAGAAUAAAAUAAGUAUUCCUUUUUUUUUUUAAUUUAAUCUAAUUUUAUUAUGUUAUGUUAGUCACCAUAUAGUACAUCAUUAGUUUUUGAUGUAGUGUUCCAUGAUUCAUUGUUUGCGCAUAACACCCAGUGCUCCAUUCAGUACUUGCCCUCUUUAAUACCCAUCACCAGGCUAACUCAUCCCCCGACCCCCUCCCCUCUAAAACCCUCAGUUUGUUUCUCAGAGUCCAUAGUCUCUCAUGGUUCAUCUCUCCCUCCGAUUUCCCCCCCUUCAUUUUUCCCUUCCGUCUUCCAAUGUCCUCCAUGCUAUUCCUUAUGUUCCACAAAUAAGUGAAACCAUAUGAUAAUUGACUUUCUCUGCCUGACUUAUUUCACUUUGCAUAAUCUCCUCCAGUCCCAUCCAUGUUGAUGUAAAAGUUGGGUAUUUAUCUUUUCUGAUGGCUGAGUAAUAUUCCAUUGUAUUUAUGGAUCACAUCUUCUUUAUCCAUUAGUCUGUUGAAGGGCAUCUCGGCUCUUUCCACAGUUUGGCUAUUGCAGAUGUUGCCACUAUGAACAUUGGGGUGCAUAUGGCCCUUCUUUUCACUACAUCUGUGUCUUUGGGGUAAAUACCCAAUAGUGCAAUUGCUGGGUCAUAGUGAAGCUCUAUUUUUAAUUUUUUGAGGAACCUCCACACUGUUUUCCAAAGUGGCUGUAACCAACUUGCAUUCCCACCACAUGAAAAGAUGUUCAUCAUCAUUAGCCAUCAGGGAAAUUUAAAUCUUUUUUUUUUUUAAAAGAUUUUAUUUAUUUAUUUUAGAGACAGCCUGCAUUUGAUCAAGUGGGUGGGGGGAGGCACAGAGGGAGAGGGAGAGAGAGCCUGAAGCAGACACCCUGCUGAGCAUGGAGCCCCACACUGGCUCAAUCUCACAACCCCGAGAUUAUGACCUGAGCUGAAAUCACGAGUUGGACACUUAACUGACUUGAGCUACCCAGGCACCCCUCUUUUUUUUUUUUUUUUUUUAAGAUUUAUUUAUUUUAGAAGAACGCGUGUGCGUGUGCACCCAUGGGAGGAAGGGCAGAGGGAGAGAGUCUCAAGCAGACUCCCCAAUGAGCAUGGAGCCUCACCCAGGACUCAACCCCACCAUCCUGAGAUUAUGACCUGAGCUGAAACCAAGGGUCAGAUGCUUAACUGACUGAGCCACCCAGGUGCCCCUUAAAAUAGGUAUUUCUUAAUCAGAUGUCAAUGCUUUCUCAGCAUGCAACAUGGUCGCUUUUGUGAGCUAUUUUGUACUUGGAUUUUUUAAAAGGGGAGUAGGUCUUUGGACUUUCUUUUUUCAGUUUCAGAGAUUUAGAAUCCCAAAUGAUUUAAAUUGUGGAUGAAGUUAAAGAGAAAAUAUACUUCUCAAAUUUUGCUUCGUAGUAGAAGUAAAGAUUUAAUGUCAAACUCCUGCGGAUUGCUGGUACAAAUUGGGCACUUUCUCAGCAAAUUAUAAGUUGAAUUUUAUUCUUGUAUUGAUCUUCAGGGACAGAGAACAAGACCGACUCAAUACUUAGAUUAAUUCACUUAAAAUAACUCUUCUUGAGUCCUUUGUUAUGGAUACAUUAUAAUCCCUUGAAGUAAAAUCCAUAAUUAUUUUACCUUUUGCCUGACAGUAAUGUUACCUUAACCUGAAGAAAUUAUUCAGACCCUCUUACUAUUUUCUAAUGUAUAAUAUUAGGAACAGUGGCUGCUUUUCACACCUUUUAGGGGCCAGGCAGCUUCACAGUAUUAAAGAGAAUAAGAUCUGAGCCCUGUCCAGGCCAUUUGCUCACUUUGUCCUUGAGCAUGUUAUUGGAAGUUUUCUGAGGCUCCAUUCGAUCCGCUGUAAAUGGAGAUAACGCUCACCUCACAUGGAUGCUGUAAACAUAGGUAAUGUGUGGGCAUACCUACAAGUAUGUUUCCGCGAUGGCUGUAAUAAUGUGUGGAAUGUGGCAACCGUCCUGUGUUCCCAGCCCCAGGCACUUGGUGCCAGGACUUCCCUAUGGCUGGGGGUCACAGGGAAUUCACAGGCAGGCUUGCGUGAAUCUUGGGAAUAUGUUAAUUGACUACAUGUUGCCAUUUGACAUGAGGGAACCAGACUGUAUGUAACAUUUUAUAAGCCAAGUUCAAAGGAGUAGAUGUUUGCCAAAGCUUUUUGUAAGGCUAGGUCCUUUUUCUACAGUUAGUAUCUUUUUCAGUUGGGCCUCAGGUCAGCUCUCUCUGAUAUUUUAACAACUCAUAUGCCAUUGCAAACAUAGUAAUUUCAGGAAAGCCUGAAGAGGAGACUUGAUUCUUCUUUCCAUGUGUCCCAUUUGGGCUCUUCUCCUAUUAGACUUUUGGCACUUGUAGAAUAUUUUAAAAAGUCCCUGCUAUGAAAAGGAAAGAGCCUACAAGACCUACAGGUUAGGCUCACAAAGUUCCAUCUGGGGCUCUUGAUGUACACAUCCUCAGUUGAACCCCUUAUGUGUGCUCUUGUCCUUUGUCUGAAUCUUAAAUUGCAUAAACUUUACUUAGCAGACACAAAGGAAGCCCUGUGUUUUCUGCAUUCCAGGCACUAAGGUUGUGAAGAAGAAGCGGAUGCCUCAGGGCCACUUUGUAUGUGGGAAAAGAUGAGAAUAUAGUAGGGUGUGCCAUCCGUAGUAAAGACCUUUGAGCAGGAAAAACAAAGGAGCGGAAAACCAGUGGGCAGGAAGCCAUGGUUGGACAUGUUUUUAAAUUUUCUGCCAGGACAACUCAUCUUUGCUCUGUUUUAAUAUUCCUUCUACUUUGGCCCUUACUUCAACGAUGUCUUUUUUUGUGAAGAAAUCAGUUAUCUUUUUCAUCUCCAAGUAUUCACUCUCAUCCUCUAAAUAUCAGUUAAACCUGGUAUGGGAAGUGAACCACCCUUCAUGUCUCUGUAAGGGGUGGAGCAGAUGGGAGCCUUUGUGUGUGACCAGAUCCAACCAGACCCUUUUCCAUCCUUGGCAGUUCAGAGCACUGAGCUCUGGAAGGCUUUGCUCUGUUCUCUUGUGAUUUGUCUUGAAAACUUAUGUUUAGAACAUGAUCCUUCCCAUUGGUCCUUUAUUGAAAGGGAUCACAGCUUUUUAUAAUUGAAGGGUGGCAUGGUGUCUUUAGGUACACUUUUUAAAUGUUUUUUAAAAAAUCACUCUCAGAGGGGAGGAAAAAUAAUUUCCCUUCUACCCUUCUGAGUUCUUAGCUGAGACCCUGUAAUAAAUGACAGAUUAACAUGAAAAAAAGUGUUGAUUAACAUGUAUACCUCAUACACAUGGGAGAUACCCAGGAAAAAAUGGGUAACUUAAAGAUGUAGCUGUAGAAUUUAGGAUUAUAUUCCAUCUUAACAGGGAAAAAGGAGUGGGGGUGUAGGCCUCUUACAGAGAAUAAGUGAUUUUUAGGAAUGAUGGAUGGGCCCAUAGAAGAAUAGUUGAGAGAUAAUGAGAUUGUGACACGGUCUGUCUAGUCGGACUGGGUGUGGUGUGGACUUCAAGACUUCUUUUGUGAUAAGAGUCCGUCCUCCCUGGUUGAUGAAACUCCCAGGGAGGGGACUUAGAUAAUUGAGUUCCUUUUGGAGGACCUGUCUUUUUUUAGGUAGAUAAGGGAAGUUCAGAGAAAGCCUCUCCUUGCACUUGACUAUUUUCAGGUGUCUACAGCUCAAAAUAGUACACUUUUGAAAGUGGCAUAUUUUGGGGUGGCAUAUUCUGCUGAUCCUUUACACUAAACAAUCUGACUUUUAAAAUUAGAAUAUUUGAAGGCCCUCUUGGAAUGAAGCAUGUCUAAUUUCAGGCUUAAUUUCUUAGACAUAUAUAGGAAAAAAUAUAUAUAUAUAUAAAAAAUCUGGAAAUUUUAUAGUAAGUGUUAUACUCUACCCCUCAUCUCUCCCUCCCCCCACCACAACAACAGCACAACACAACACAUCAAACUUAUGCAGUCACACAUACUCAUACUCCCUAGUUGCCGGCCUCCCCAGAGUGGUGGCAUUUAUAGUGACCAUAAACUCUUCUUUUUUUCCUAAUAAAAUUUAUAGAUGGUUUCCCUUUUUUGCCCUUGCAUGAGUUAGACAGAACUACUUCCUUACUGUUGGUUGAAAAUAAGAUCCCCAUCCAUUGUCCAGAUUACAUUAGGGUAGCUCCUAGUUGACACAGAAAUAUAUUACGUGUUUUAAUAUGACACCCAUAAUUAAUAAGUCAGUGAUAAGAACUUUCGUGUAAGGGUAAAAAAAGCACAUAAAUCAUUUUCAUGCUAUAGGAGGUUUCAGUCAGUCCCAUAGUAUUUUCAGUCCUAGUUUAUCUUCUUGAGACUUCUGGGGGUCUCUGACCCCUCACUUACACUAGUCCACAGAACUCCCUCUGGUUCCUGUUCCAAAUGCUUCUUCCUUUUCUCAGUCUUCCUUCAUAUCUUUGAUAGCUUUGGACUAAGUCCAUGUUAGUGGAGGUAGAGCAACACAGUAAAAUCCUUGGACCACCUCUCUCCCCUUUCUCUGGACCUCUGCGGGGAAAGGUAGGGUCACAUUACUGGUCGAUGCUUGUGGCCCACAGGUCAUUUCCUGGAGGUACUUAGGGAGAGGUUGGAUGUCACCUGAUGAGAGGAGAUGACACUGGGCCUGUGUGUGCCCGCUGCUCGUCCCCGGCAGGUGCCCUCAUCCCACAGCCUCUGGAACCCUCAUGUCCAUGAGGGCGUGCAGCCAGAAUGUAAAUCCAAGUCUCUAUCCAAAACUCAUGCUCUUUCCUUUUCACAGCAGGGACUUUUAAAAAUAUUCUUUACAAAAUCUC